ensembl:misc_RNA Metazoa_SRP Metazoan signal recognition particle RNA
GCCAGGCAUGAUGGCUCAUGCCUGUAAUCCCAGCACUUUGGGAGGCUGAGGUGGGAGAGUCACUUGAGGUCAGGAGUUCAAGACCAGCCUGGCCAACAUGGUGAAACCCCGUCUCUA